CCAGCAUUUUGUGUCUAUCUUUGGAGGGAGAUGGAUCAUGUGCAGACAGAGAUUAAUUUCAUGGUCGGCAUGGACAUUGUGGGCCGAAGGGCCUGUCCGUGUGCUGUGCUGUUCUAUGUUCCAAGUUGAAGAGGCAAAUCAAAAACUGUAAAUGCUAACAAUAUUAUUCUACUCCUGCAACAACCGUGGAAAUAAAAACAGAGUCACAGGCCAAUGACAAGUUGAAUAAUUUGGCACAAACAUUUACUCUGUUUCUCUCCACAGACGUUGAGUAUUUACAACAGUUUCUGUUCAUGCUUCAGAUUUUCAGCUGUGAUACACUGUACAUUAGCUGACUAAUCCUGGUGGCAGGGCAGCAGCUGAAGAGUGAGGCAAGGUGGUUUUUGGAUAUUAAGGGAAUAAAUGAUACGGGGUCAGUACAGGAAAGUGGAGUUGAGGUGAAAGUCAGCCCCUAUAUUAAACUGUGUAUUCCUGCCUCCAUUUCUGACAUGCUAGUGUGAACUAGGCUUCACAAUUUACAGUAUACUAACCACUUAGGCUUGAAAUCAAACGUUUCCUAAUUUUGCACUGAAACCUAAGUGAGAGGUUGUUAAUGGUUUGGAGGGCAGUUAGAGCUUAGAGCUGGGAAUAUAUAUUUUGGCAAGAAAAAUAAGAAAGGUAUGUUAUUUCAAAACUAAGAUUGUUAUAGGGCCAGAGCAGCAAAGAGCACAGAUAGAUCACUUAAGGAACAGUGCGGGCUGAUGAGGGUACACAAAAUGCUGGAGUAACUCA